GCUCGUAGUUGAACCUUGGGUCUGGCUGGCCGGUCCGCCUCACCGCGAGUACUGGUCCGGCUGGACCUUUCCUUCUGGGGAAUCUCAUGGCCUUCACUGGCUGUGGGGGGAACCAGGACUUUUACUGUGAAAAAAUUAGAGUGUUCAAAGCAGGCCUUUGCUCGAAUACAUUAGCAUGGAAUAAUAGAAUAGGACGUGCGGUUCUAUUUUGUUGGUUUCUAGGACCGCCGUAAUGAUUAAUAGGGAUAGUCGGGGGCGUCAGUAUUCAGCUGUCAGAGGUGAAAUUCUUGGAUUUGCUGAAGACUAACUACUGCGAAAGCAUUCGCCAAGGAUGUUUUCAUUAAUCAGGGAACGAAAGUUAGGGGAUCGAAGACGAUCAGAUACCGUCGUAGUCUUAACCAUAAACUAUGCCGACUAGGGAUCGGACGGUGUUUCUAUUAUGACCCGUUCGGCACCUUACGAGAAAUCAAAGUUUUUGGGUUCUGGGGGGAGUAUGGUCGCAAGGCUGAAACUUAAAGAAAUUGACGGAAGGGCACCACCAAGCGU
rnacentral:rRNA from 1 species